CCGGCAGUGAUCGAUAAAGGCAGUGUAGUUAUAUUAUUGCGACGCGCUUCUUCGGCUGCUUAGCCUCUCUACCAUUUCUUCUCAUCUACAUACAUAAGAACGCGUAGAGGAAGAGCAAAAAAGAAAUAUACGAGAACAGAGCAGCCUCCUACAUCUACAACCGAAUGAGUUUCUUCCACGUCUCCCAGGCUUCUCCGAAAUCUUUCCUGACUGCUUCUGGAUUUAGUCGGUGAACCGUCACACACCUUGUCCGAAAAACGUCUCCCAAAGGGAUCCAUGCGUCUUUCCAGAAGCUCCGAUCGGGUGGCAGUCGCACGCUGUAACACACGGCAUGCCCACAAACGAAAGUGUUAGUUCAG